CUGUGUAUAAUCAAACUCUUUGAUGCCAAUGUCAUGCAGAUUGACGAUGAUGAAAAAAUUACAGUGAUUGACUUUCCACAGAUGGUGUCUGUUUCUCACCGUAAUGCCCAAAUGUUUUUUGACCGAGACAUUGAAUGCAUCUACAAGUUCUUUAACAAAAGAUUCAAUCUGAGGUCAGUGAAAAAUGAAGAACAAGCUGGAUCUGAAAAUGAUGAUGAAGGAAA